AACGAACGCUGGCGGCAGGCCUAACACAUGCAAGUCGAGCGAUGACUUCGGUCCUAGCGGCGGACGGGUGAGUAACGCGUGGGAACGUGCCCUUUGCUUCGGAAUAGCCCUGGGAAACUGGGAGUAAUACCGGAUGAGCCCUUUGGGGGAAAGAUUUAUCGGCGAAGGAUCGGCCCGCGUUGGAUUAGGUAGUUGGUGGGGUAAUGGCCUACCAAGCCGACGAUCCAUAGCUGGUUUGAGAGGAUGAUCAGCCACACUGGGACUGAGACACGGCCCAGACUCCUACGGGAGGAAGCAGUGGGGAAUCUUAGACAAUGGGGGAAACCCUGAUCUAGCCAUGCCGCGUGAGCGAUGAAGGCCUUAGGGUUGUAAAGCUCUUUCAGCUGGGAAGAUAAUGACGGUACCAGCAGAAGAAGCCCCGGCUAACUCCGUG
rnacentral:rRNA from 1 species